AUUGAACGCUGGCGGCAUGCUUUACACAUGCAAGUCGAACGGUAACAGGCCUUCGGGUGCUGACGAGUGGCGAACGGGUGAGUAAUGCAUCGGAACGUGCCCAAUCGUGGGGGAUAACGUAGCGAAAGUUACGCUAAUACCGCAUAAGCCCUGAGGGGGAAAGUGGGGGACCGCAAGGCCUCACGCGAAUGGAGCGGCCGAUGUCAGAUUAGCUAGUUGGUGGGGUAAAGGCCCACCAAGGCGACGAUCUGUAGCGGGUCUGAGAGGAUGAUCCGCCACACUGGGACUGAGACACGGCCCAGACUCCUACGGGAGGCAGCAGUGGGGAAUUUUGGACAAUGGGCGCAAGCCUGAUCCAGCCAUGCCGCGUGCGGGACGAAGGCCUUCGGGUUGUAAACCGCUUUCAGCCGGAAAGAAAUCGCCGUUUUUAAUACAGACGGUGGAUGACGGUACCGGAAGAAGAAGCACCGGCUAACUACGUGCCAGCAGCCG
rnacentral:rRNA from 1 species